rfam:Acidobacterium capsulatum ATCC 51196, complete genome.
CAGGCGGGCUGGGCGGCCGCUGCCGUGCGGGUGCAAGCCUGGGCGGGAGAGGAAAGUCCGGACUCCGCAGGGCAGUGUGCCGGAUAACGUCCGGGAUUGCAGCGUGAAGGCUGCAAGACGGCUAGUGCCACAGAGAAGAUACCGCCGGAUCGCCGUGAGGCGCUCCGGUAAGGGUGAAAAGGUGCGGUAAGAGCGCACCGCCCCGGCGGUAACGCCCGGGGGCAGGGUAAACCCCACACGGAGCAAGACCAAAUAGGGAGGGAAGAACGGCGUGGCCCAGUUCGCCGUUCUGCGUACCGGCCCGGUGCGCCCACGUGGGCUUCGCAGGCGGCUUCGGCUGCCGGCGGCGGAAACCUCCGGGUAGGUUGCUGGAGCGCGCGCAGUAAUGCGCCGCCUAGAGGAAUGGCCGUCCUCGACAGAAUCCGGCUUACAGGCCCUGCUUGCAGA